AGUUAUACAGUUAAGUGCUUA
rnacentral:piRNA from 1 species